GGGAGAAUUCCCGAGUGGCCAAAGGGGGCAGACUGUAAAUCUGUUGCUUCACGCUUCGGUGGUUCGAAUCCACCUUCUCCCACCA
rnacentral:tRNA from 1 species